rfam:Aedes albopictus isolate Foshan contig2152, whole genome shotgun sequence.
UGUCCAGCAACUCCUAUCCCUACUUCCGCGUGGUACCGGCUGGAAACUACGAGCAACCUUAGAGAAGAUCGGGUAACCAACCCCGGUGGGAAUUUUGGUCGUAGCGUAGCCUGACAGGGAAGA